GUCGUUCGCCGGCGGAUGUAGCCAAGUGGAUCAAGGCAGUGGAUUGUGGAUCCACCAUGCGCGGGUUCAAUUCCC
rnacentral:tRNA from 1 species